CCCUAGCCCCGAUAGAAGCGGCAUCCUUUUAUGGUGGGGUUCACCAUAAAAGAUAGAGCGGAUAGCGGGAUUAGCU
rnacentral:sRNA from 1 species